UACGGAGGAUGCGAGCGUUAUCCGGAUUUAUUGGGUUUAAAGGGUGCGUAGGCGGUCCGUUAAGUCAGCGGUAAAAUUGCGGGGCUCAACCCCGUCGAGCCGUUUGAACUGGCGCGCUUGAGUUCAGGCGAGGUAGGCGGAAUUCGUGGUGUAGCGGUGAAAUGCAUAGAUAUCACGAAGAACUCCGAUUGCGAAGGCAGCUUACCAGUCUGCGACUGACGCUCAGGCACGAAAGUGUGGGUAUCGAACAGG
rnacentral:rRNA from 1 species